rnacentral:rRNA from 1 species
GAUGAACGCUGGCGGCGUGCCUAAUACAUGCAAGUCGAGCGAACGGACGAGAAGCAUGCUUCUCUGAUGUUAGCGGCGGACGGGUGAGUAACACGUGGAUAACCUACCUAUAAGACUGGGAUAACUUCGGGAAACCGGAGCUAGUACCGGAUAAUAUUUUGAACCGCAUGGUUCAAAAGUGAAAGACGGUCUUGCUGUCACUUAUAGAUGGAUCCGCGCUGCAUUAGCUAGUUGGUAAGGUAACGGCUUACCAAGGCAACGAUGCAUAGCCGACCUGAGAGGGUGAUCGGCCACACUGGAACUGAGACACGGUCCAGACUCCUACGGGAGGCAGCAGUAGGGAAUCUUCCGCAAUGGGCGAAAGCCUGACGGAGCAACGCCGCGUGAGUGAUGAAGGUCUUCGGAUCGUAAAACUCUGUUAUUAGGGAAGAACAUAUGUGUAAGUAACUGUGCACAUCUUGACGGUACCUAAUCAGAAAGCCACGGCUAACUACGUG